GUCCAGGGGCGGGAAUCGAACCCACAACCUUCUGCUUACCGGGCAGGUGCCAUGUCCACCAGGCUACCCUGAA